rnacentral:misc_RNA from 1 species
GGACUACUCGGGUUUCUAAUCCCUUUCGCUCCCCUAGCCUUCGAGCCUCAGCGUCAGCAAAUGUCCAGUAGCUCGCUUUCGCCACGAGUGUUCCUAUCGAUAUCUACGCAUUUCACUGCUACACCGAUAAUUCCAGCUACCCCUCCAUUGCUCAAGCACGGCAGUAUCGGAUGCAGUUCCGGGGUUGAGCCCCGGGAUUUCACAUCUGACUUACCGCGCCGCCUACGCUCCCUUUACGCCCAGUGAUUCCGAACAACGCUUGGGACCUUCGUAUUACCGCGGCGGCUGGCAC